CCGCCCCUGUCUUUUCUCCUCCCUUCCCUAAUCUUCCAUGGUCGCCAGAUCCCUCCCUCCAUAGCCGGCGCUCCCUGUAAGGCCGCCCCUCCCCUUCGUCACCCACGCCGGUGGACGUGCAUGCCCCUGCUCCACCUCGCUCCUCCUUCGAAUUCGGCCGUCGAAGUGCUCGAGGAGGCAGUCGAGCUUGGCAUGCUCGCCGGUGACGCUGGCCCCUUACCGCACACGCCGGACUACCAACCUCUCAGGCGGGGGGCGCACGCCGACCCCAGGAAGAGAGAAGCGAAGAUUUUGUGCCGGCUUCUUGCUCAGCUGGGAAUUUGAAGAGGACGGCCGUGGCCAUGGCCUUGGAGGAGGUGGAAGUUCCCGUCCCCACAGAGAAGUUGUCCACGGAUCCAAAUCUAGACGGGGGAAGGCAGGGUGGUGUUGUGCUGGUGGCCACCGGGAGCUUCAACCUUCCUACCUACAUGCACAGGCAUGUUUGAGCUUGCGAAGGAUGAGUUGCAGCAGCGAGGGUAGUCGGUGCUGGGAUGUUACUGCCUUAAUGGAUACAUGUCCCUGGUGAACCGAUGCUAACAAGAAGAAGGCAAUGCAGAAAGGUCAUCAGCGUACCUUGACCAUUCUCUCAAGAGUUAAGAAUUCUUCUGUGCAAGGAUGGCUUAGCUGAUCAAGG